rnacentral:rRNA from 1 species
AUUGAACGCUGGCGGCAGGCCUAACACAUGCAAGUCGAGCGGAGCGGCGGACGGGUGCGUAAUGCCUAGGAAUCUGCCUGGUAGUGGGGGAUAACGUCCGGCAACGGGCGCUAAUACCGCAUACUAUCAGAUUAGCCUAUGUCGGAUUAGCUAGUUGGUGGGGUAAAUGACUACCAAGGCGACGAUCCGUAACUGGUCUGAGAGGAUGAUCAGUCACACUGGAACGUAGACACGGGCCAGACUCUUACGGGAGGCAGCAGUGGGGAAUAUUGUACAAUGGGCGAAAGCCUGAUCCAGCCAUGCCGCGUGUGUGAAGAAGGUCUUCGGAUUGUAAAGCACUUUAAGUUGGGAGGCGUUACCAACAGAAUAAGCACCGGCUAACUUCGUGCCAGCAGCCGCGGUAAUUC